UGGGGAAUCUUGGACAAUGGGCGCAAGCCUGAUCCAGCCAUGCCGCGUGAGUGAUGAAGGCCCUAGGGUCGUAAAGCUCUUUCGCCAGAGAUGAUAAUGACAGUAUCUGGUAAAGAAACCCCGGCUAACUCNNUGCCAGCAGCCGCGGUAAUACGGAGGGGGUUAGCGUUGUUCGGAAUUACUGGGCGUAAAGCGCACGUAGGCGGAUCAGAAAGUAUAGGGUGAAAUCCCAGGGCUCAACCCUGGAACUGCCUUAUAAACUCCUGGUCUUGAGUUCGAGAGAGGUGAGUGGAAUUCCGAGUGUAGAGGUGAAAUUCGUAGAUAUUCGGAGGAACACCAGUGGCGAAGGCGGCUCACUGGCUCGAUACUGACGCUGAGGUGCGAAAGUGUGGGGAGCAAACAGGAUUAGAUACCCUGGUAGUCCACACCGUAAACGAUGAAUGCCAGUCGUCGGGUAGCAUGCUAUUCGGUGACACACCUAACGGAUUAAGCAUUCCGCCUGGGGAGUACGGUCGCAAGAUUA
rnacentral:rRNA from 1 species